GGUCAAGCAUUUAAGCGUGCGUGGUGGAUGCCUUGGCAGCCAGAGGCGAUGAAGGACGUUGUAGGCAACGAAAUGCCUCGGGGAGCCGUCAAACAGGCUUUGAUCCGGGGGUGUCCGAAUGGGGAAACCCACCCGACUUGUCGGGUAUCUUGCACUGAAUAAAAUAGGUGCAAGAAGCGAACGCGGGGAACUGAAACAUCUAAGUACCCGCAGGAAAAGAAAUCAAUUGAGAUUCCCUGAGUAGCGGUGAGCGAAAGGGGAUUAGCCCUUAAGUUGAGUUGGCGUUAGUGGAACGUUCUGGAAAGUACGGCGAUAGAGGGUGAUAGCCCCGUACACGAAAAUUCCAAUUCAAUGAAAACGAGUAGGUCGGGACACGUGUAAUCCUGAUUGAAUAUGGGGGGACCAUCCUCCAAGGCUAAAUACUCCUGGCUGACCGAUAGUGAACAAGUACCGUGAGGGAAAGGCGAAAAGAACCCCGGUGAGGGGAGUGAAAUAGACCCUGAAACCGCGCACGUACAAGCAGUCGGAGCCCCUUCGUGGGGUGACGGCGUACCUUUUGUAUAAUGGGUCAGCGAGUUAUUGUCAGUAGCAAGGUUAACCGUGUAGGGGAGCCGUAGGGAAACCGAGUCUUAAUAGGGCGAUUUAGUUGCUGGCAAUAGACCCGAAACCGAGCGAUCUAGCCAUGGGCAGGUUGAAGGUGCCGUAACAGGCACUGGAGGACCGAACCGAAUAAUGUUGAAAAAUUAUCGGAUGACCUGUGGCUCGGAGUGAAAGGCUAAUCAAGCUCGGAGAUAGCUGGUUCUCCUCGAAAACUAUUUAGGUAGUGCCUCGUGUCAAUUGACUGCUGGGGGUAGAGCACUGUGUCGGCUAGGGGGUCAUCCCGACUUACCAACCCGAUGCAAACUCCGAAUACCAGUAAGUUUUACCACGGGAGACAGACGGCGGGUGCUAACGUCCGUCGUCAAGAGGGAGACAACCCAGACCGCCAGCUAAGGUCCCAAAUAUCAGUUAAGUGGGAAACGAUGUGGGAAGGCUUAGACAGCUAGGAGGUUGGCUUAGAAGCAGCCAUCCUUUAAAGAAAGCGUAAUAGCUCACUAGUCGAGUCGGCCUGCG
rnacentral:rRNA from 1 species